GCAUGGCAGAAUUCCAAAUUCCAUUUCCUAUUGGUUUGUUUGGUCAGACACCAUGCAAUAAUAAAGUGACACUGAUCAGACUUCAUACUAAGUACAGCAGUGUUUAGCUGUAGGAAGUACUGUUCAUUGUUACAAUA